GGGCAGCGGGGAGGAAGCUUGCUUUCUCCGCCGGCGACCGGCGCACGGGUGAGUAACACGUAUGCAACCUGCCCCUGUCAGGGGGACAACCCGCCGAAAGGCGGGCUAAACCCGCGUACAUGCCACCGGGGCAUCCCGGAGGCAGGAAAGGCUUCGGCCGGACAGGGAUGGGCAUGCGGCGCAUUAGGCAGUAGGCGGGGUAACGGCCCACCUAACCGACGAUGCGUAGGGGUUCUGAGAGGAAGGUCCCCCACACUGGUACUGAGACACGGACCAGACUCCUACGGGAGGCAGCAGUGAGGAAUAUUGGUCAAUGGUCGGGAGACUGAACCAGCCAAGCCGCGUGAGGGAGGAAGGUACAGAGUAUCGUAAACCUCUUUUGUCAGGGAACAAAGACUGGGACGCGUCCCCGGAUGAGUGUACCUGAAGAAAAAGCAUCGGCUAACUCCGUGCCAGCAGCCGCGGUAAUACGGAGGAUGCGAGCGUUAUCCGGAUUUAUUGGGUUUAAAGGGUGCGCAGGCGGUCUGUUAAGUCAGCGGUCAAAGCCCGGGGCUCAACCCCGGCCCGCCGUUGAAACUGGCAGUCUCGAGUUGGAGAGAAGUAUGCGGAAUGCGCGGUGUAGCGGUGAAAUGCAUAGAUAUCGCAGCAAAACUCCCAUUUGCAAGGCAGCAUGCCCGCUCCACACUGACGCUGAAGCACAAAAGCGGGGGUAUCAAACAGGAUUAAAUUCCCCUGGCAGUCCACGCAGUAAACGAUGAAUGCUGGCUGUCCGGGGGGACUGACCCCUGGGUGGCGAAGCGAAAGCGAUAAGCAUUCCACCUGGGGAGUACGCCGGCAACGGUGAAACUCAAAGGAAUUGACGGGGGCCCGCACAAGCGGAGGAACAUGUGGUUUAAUUCGAUGAUACGCGAGGAACCUUACCCGGGCUCAAACGGGGAGUGCCGCAGGCAGAGACGCCUGUUUCCCACGGGACACUCCCCGAGGUGCUGCAUGGUUGUCGUCAGCUCGUGCCGUGAGGUGUCGGCUUAAGUGCCAUAACGAGCGCAACCCCCGCGUGCAGUUGCUAACAGAUAACGCUGAGGACUCUGCACGGACUGCCGGCGCAAGCCGCGAGGAAGGCGGGGAUGACGUCAAAUCAGCACGGCCCUUACGUCCGGGGCGACACACGUGUUACAAUGGGUGGUACAGCGGGAAGCCAGGCGGCGACGCCGAGCGGAACCCGAAAUCCACUCUCAGUUCGGAUCGGAGUCUGCAACCCGACUCCGUGAAGCUGGAUUCGCUAGUAAUCGCG
rnacentral:rRNA from 1 species